rnacentral:rRNA from 1 species
GACAGAGGUGGCAAGCGUUGUCCGGAAUUACUGGGCGUAAAGCGUGCGCAGGCGGUUUUGUAAGACAGUUGUGAAAUCCCCGGGCUCAACCUGGGAACUGCAUCUGUGACUGCAUAGCUAGAGUACGGUAGAGGGGGAUGGAAUUCCGCGUGUAGCAGUGAAAUGCGUAGAUAUGCGGAGGAACACCGAUGGCGAAGGCAAUCCCCUGGACCUGUACUGACGCUCAUGCACGAAAGCGUGGGGAGCAAACAGG